CCUCUUGCACACUUCACACCAUUGGACAAAUUCAAAGUUUACUUCAGCUAAAAUCUUCUUUCUUUCGUUCACACAAAUUAUCCUUGCAAGAAAAAGAACUCAAGCUUAAGAGAUUACAACAUCCAAAACUAUUCAAGGCUUUGUGACCAGGGGGAUUAGCGCUGCUUUCCCAAGACAGGUUUAUAAGUGAUUAUGAUCUUCAGGCUUUGCCUAACCAGGUUGGCUGGCCGGUGCUGACGGGACGGAGCUGAGGCUAGGGUUAAAUUCCUAUUUUAGACUUCCGCUGUAGCAAUUACUCAUAUCAGUCUUUUGUUUUUCCAACUUAAGAUCUUCAUGUUAAAUUUCAAAUGAUAUACCUGACCGAGCUUAGACUAUUCACUACUAAAUUUAUGCCAAUGAAUGUCGGUUGUCAGAAGCAUGAAACAAAACUUGUGAUCCAAAGGGGCAUAGCCCGACUCUCUAUCUUAUUAUUCGGGUUUUAACAAGGUUGUUCCUUGUUUAUUUCUAUGAAUUAGUUGCACCUCGAUUAUAUUUAUUCAUUCAAGAAUUGGGGUGUGACA